rnacentral:lncRNA from 1 species
UUUGGCUAAUUUCUCCCCUCUGGCAUGGUUAUUUUGUUGGCCCGUUGGCCCUUGUCUGUUUGUGGCCCGUUGGCCAUUGACCGUGAUUUUCAAAUGGCAACUGUUAUUACUAAAGAAACUUAUCAUAUUUUGUUUUUUAGUGAAGUGGCUUUGGGCUGCAAAAGACACCGGGCGUGUGGAGGCAGUCGUUGGGCCAUACAAAUUGUAUGACUCUUCUUUUCGCACACUGGAGGACAGUGGGUGGCUUUCUGAUGAGGUAAGUGAAGUAAUCAUUUUUGGUCCUAGUGGUGGUCUGUAAAAAUAAUCUUCUUUUAAUCCAAACAGGUCAUUGAUGGAUACCUGCACUGCCUCAUUAGGAAACAAAAGGAACCCGUGUAUCAGUUGUCUUGCGUUGUUGCAACCUCUGUUUUCUGGGAAGUUUAAAUGUGUCACCAAGGUAAUGUAGAUGUUAUAUAGGUCAUAUAGUGCAUGUUAUGUAAAUGAAUCUAAACCUUUAUAAACUUAAAAAUAUUCCACAGAUGUUGUUUCUAGCUGAGGACAUUUGGUUGUGCCCACUGAACUUCGGUGCACACUGGAUCCUUGUGGUACAUUGUUCUUUUUAGCAGCAUAUUCUUAUUUUGAAAAUGCUUACAACUGAUUAUGUUUACUUAAGUUAGUGUACUACACAUAUUCUACUAAAUACCAUUUUUAUUUUAGGUUGUCAAACCUAUUUUAGGUUUGACAACCUAGUGUGGAAAAUGGAGACUCUGCCACACAACAAGCAGAUGGACUCCAGCAGUUGUGGAGUUUUAGUGUUGAAGUUUGCCGAACACUACCUUAUGAGUGGAGAGGUUACUAGGGUGCUGUCCACUCCAGAAGCCAUUGGGCUGCAACGCACAGAAAUUGCUUGCGAACUGCUAGAACAUCAAAGUAAUGCUGAUGACUACUGUGUGGUUUGUUCCAUGCUGGAAGCCGAUCCUGAGUCCAGUAUGAUUGAAAUGGUGCAGUGUGACUUUUGUCUCAGAUGGGCACAUUUUGGAUGUGCUCAAUAUGAGAGCAGCCUGGUCAAGUACUUGUGCGACAAAUGUGCAUAA